UCCAAACCAACUGACUGGUGCGAAAAUCUUGAAAACUAAGUUGAACAACCUUUAUGGUAAGGGGAGUGUAUGUUGUUGAAAACUCCAACACAUGAGUGAAAAUUACUGUAGUGUUAUGCAUAACAUAGAGUAUUGUAGAUUGAUCAUCUAUAGUACUUGAUUCAUUUGAGUUAUCAGUUUAAUAUAGAUAAUUCUAGUAAAUGUUCAAUAGUCCUUAGUGAUUGCUCAGUAUAAAUUGUUUUAUCCAGUUGGAUACGUU
rnacentral:lncRNA from 1 species